rnacentral:miRNA from 1 species
UGUUUGCAUAGUGUGUGUAUAUAAUGCAGUGUGUUUGUGUAGUGUGUUUAUAUAAUGCACACUACACAAAUACACUGCAUUAUAUACACACACUAUACAAAC